UCCGUAGGCGGGCAAUUAAGUCAGAGGUGAAAUCCCACAGCUCAACUGUGGAACUGCCUUUGAUACUGGUUGUCUUGAGUUACAGUGAAGUAGAUAGAAUAUGUAGUGUAGCGGUGAAAUGCAUAGAUAUUACAUAGAAUACCGAUUGCGAAGGCAGUCUACUAACUGUAUACUGACGCUAAUGGACGAAAGCGUGGGGAGCGAACAGGAUUAGAUACCCUGGUAGGUCC
rnacentral:rRNA from 1 species